rnacentral:rRNA from 1 species
CCUACGGGGUGCAGCAGUGGGGAAUAUUGGGCAAUGGGGGGAACCCUGAUGCAGCGACGCCGCGUGAGUGAAGAAGUAUUUCGGUAUGUAAAGCUCUAUCAGCAGGGAAGAAAGAAAUGACGAUACCUGACUAAGAAGCCCCGGCUAACUACGUGCCAGCAGCCGCGGUAAUACGUAGGGGGCAAGCGUUAUCCUGAUUUACUGGGCGUAAAGCGCUCGUAGGCGGUAUGUCAAGUCAAGGGUGAAAUCCCCGCGCUCAACGUGGGAACUGCUUUGGAAACUGGCAAACUGGAGUGUGUGAGAGGAUAGUGGAAUUCCAGGUGUAGGAGUGAAAUCCGUAGAUAUAUGGAGGAACAUCAGUGGCGAAGGCGACUAUCUGGCACAUAACUGACGCUGAGGAGCGAAAGCGUGGGUAGCAAACAGGAAUAGAUACCCUAGUAGUC